rnacentral:rRNA from 1 species
GUGAGGGAAGGAAAGGUAACGAGCGUAUCCGUAAAACCUCUUUUGUCAGGGAACAAAGGCGGGGACUAGUCCCCGGAUGAGGGUACCUGAAGAAAAAGCAUCGGCUAACUCCGUGCC